AUAGACAGUGUCUUCCUUGCUCAACAAGGCCUCGAGGCUUUUUUCCUGUAUUUCUGAGGGCCUAACCCUUCUCCCAGGGCAGAGUUGAGAGGCUUAUAUGAGAGGUUUCUGGAAGGGCAGGCUCAGUAUCUGACACUGACAGUGUCUCUUGGCCUGGGAUCGCCUGAGGGCCCUGUGAAGCUUCAGAGCAGUGCCUGAAACACUCUGAGGACAGAAACUCAGGGACCAACACACCUGUUUCCACAGAGCUGGCCCCUGCCUCUGCUUCCUGGAAGCACUGCAAGAGUGCCUGCAGUUAUAGCCGGGAGAUGACCACAGUGAGAAGCCAGAGAAGAGGUAAACAGCAACCUUGGGCAAGCAGGAAGGCAGAAGCAGAUGCUUGGAACCACCCAGAGGUUUUCUACCACAGAAUGUGUAACUUUGAUUUUCACACACAAAAUGGUCUCAACAGUGGUUGAAAUAUACAAAAACAGAAACCCCAAUCCAGCCCUUAGCCUGAUGCUCUGCAUGCUGUUAAGAAGGGGGUGUUGAAUGAUUCCAUUUAUUUGAAAUACCCAGGAGAGGGAGAAGGUUCAUUUGAGAACUUCCCCUGCUGAAGCUUUCCCUGACCCUCUGGGAGGGGCCGGACCCUCCGUCUGUGGUCCCACAACCCCUGAGGAGGAGGAGGCACUCAUCAGGUCCCUUGGCGCCUUGCAGCCCUUUUCUUGGGCCUGCCUUUUACCUCCAUCCUCCACUCCACUGAUGGCUCAGAGCCCAGAAUCCUGUCUUCAUCCUGGCAACAGUCCCUUCAGGGCCCAGCAGGAUGGGGGAAUGAAUAAAUGUGCCUGUUUCUGAACAUAAUCAUUAAAUUCUUUACCUGUAAUGUGGACAUUAAAGGUGAAUCAUUUCCCCCCUUAAA